UAACCUCGAGCCGGGUUCCGAACUGGACGACUCGAGUGCGGUAGAGGCAGAUGGAAUUCCCGGUGUAGCGGUGGAAUGCGCAGAUAUCGGGAAGAACACCAACGGCGAAGGCAGUCUGCUGGGCCGUCACUGACGCUGAGGCGCGAAAGCUGGGGGAGCGAACAGGAUUAGAUACCCUGGUAGUCCCAGCCGUAAACGAGAGC
rnacentral:rRNA from 1 species